AUGGCGGGGGCAGGAGUAGCGACUCAGAGGCCGUCGACGGGGAGCUGGGGUGGCCAUGGCAGUUCACGCCUGCAGCACCACGAGCAUGAAGUGGGGAAAGAGGUCGAAGGUAGCAAGGAUGGGAACAUGGUCGUGGUGUUGUGGCCCUUGCUGUUGGCGCGUGAGGUUGCUAGCACCAGCCACCUCGCCGCCGUCCCAUUCGCCUGCGGCGCCGCUGUGUUCUGCUUCGAGGCCUCGUCGGGGUGGGUGCGGCCAACCACGUGGGUUCUCGUCGUAGCCAGCGGUGGGCAGGGGCCAGGUGGCAGACGGAGGUGGGUUCUCGUCGUCAUCGGAGGCGGGCGGCCACGUGGGGGGGCAUGGGGCGGACGGAGGUUGGCCGCCGCCGCCUGGGGAUCACGGCCGAGAAUUUUUAGCCGCUCGAAUACACAUGCACGCAAAGUUUUUUUUGCAAAGUUGCCAGUUAUUAAAAGAUCUGCUGAACUAGUGGCCACUCCGUCGCCGUGGGCCUCGCUUGUUUGUCGUCCCGUUCACCAUCACGCUGGUGGUGUUCCACCUCCCGCCGACCUUCGCGUCUCGUCGCUCAUCACCGUGCUCGCCAUCUGCCUCUCGGUCUCCUCCUUUCUCGUCCUCGCCGACGCGCUCCCCGAGCUCGACCUCCUCAACUCUGAGCUCGGUCGCAUCGCGCUCACCACGUCCCUCAUCACCGUUGUCACCUCAUGGCUCCUCCGAGCUUGCUUUGCUGCGGUGUUCCUCAUCACGGAGGCCAAGUCGCCGGCAUUCACGACCAAGAUCCGCACCUCCUUCACCGCCUUCAUGGCACGCCCUGUCGGAUGCUACAUCGCGUACAACCGCACCCUGGCCGGUGAUCUCCUCCCGGAGAUGGCCUUCCUCCAUGACUAUGAGAUGCAGCCCACCAUCUUGUCGGCGACGCAUCAGGCCACGAACAGCUCCAGCGCGCGCCAUUUCUCCUCGUGGAUGCCCAGCUCCAAGAAGUCUGUGCGGUAG
rnacentral:rRNA from 1 species